AGAGUUUUAUUUCUUAUUCUCUCAAACUUGAAACAUUUAUUAAAAAAAAAAAAAAAAAGAAGAAGGAAAAAAAAGGGAGAAUAGGUCAGAAAGGAUGGUGAGUAUUUAUUUUUGUCCUAACCCCACCUGAAAUAUAAUAAGUGUAACUAUUAUUUCAAGCCAAAUAAGACAGCACAUCACCAUUUACUGCCACCAGAGCAUUUUCCCUGCAUGUGACAUGCUGGGGAGUGAAAAUAUGUAAAAUAAAUGCAUAGAGGUGGAUCUGUACCCUGAACUCUGAGCACCAAAAUCCUGUGAGGCUUUGCAGGCUGUUCCCUGCAGUCUGUCCUGGCAGGGUGACAAUUCCUGCGCAGGGCAGGUGUCACUGCCAGGCUGGCUGGGCCCUCCUGGGGCUAUUCCAAGCCCUUGUGGCUGAAAGGAGGAAAGGAAGAAUGCACCUCUUGAAGAAAAAGAGCUCAGAAAUGAAUAUUUGAUUUUCCUCUGGUAACCAAUCCUUCUGCUUUCAUUGGGUUUGCUGUUGCAGUAGCACUGGACUGCAAUAGGAUAACAGAUCAUGGAAUUGUUCUUUCUUUCUCUGACUGGUGUAAAUUUAUCUUGAUAAGGGGACCUUAGCUCGCCUGCCCUGCCUGGGGUGUGCCACUGUGUGCCAGGUGUUCCCAUUCAAGCAGCUUUUCAUUGCUGCUUUGAUACAUAUCAAGGAUUCUCAUCACAAGCCAUUGCUUCGUGAAAAGUUCUAAUGGGGCGGGAGUAAAAACCUUUAUUAAAUGACAUGAACUUCUGGAUCUGAAUGUAAUAAAAUAAUAAUUUAUGAUAUAUUUUUAAGGAUAAGAUAUUAAAGUGCAUAUUAAUUAAAUGAAUAAUGAAAACCUUUGUGAGAUUCUCUCCCACAAGUUGCAAGUAGCUGUUUAAUCAAGUUCUUUUUAUGGAAAAAUGCAUUUCAUUAUAAGAUAAUUAGCACAUCUAUUGUGUUUUUAAUACAACUUGUGCUAAAGUGUGUUUGAUCUGGCGUUUGCUCAUGGCAAUUAGCAGUGAAGGAAUUGAACUUUUUUGCUUUAUUCCGGGCUUUGUAAAUUAUAAGUGCCAUAUCUGGGGAAAAUGAAUGUGAUCUUUUGUAAAGCCCUAGAUUAAUCUUGGGAAUAUACUGGGGUAGUCAUUAGGAGCAGCAAAAAGAGAAGGUGGGGAGCUGUGCUGCCUGAAGCUGCAAAUUUAGGGGGGAAUUUUAUUUUCUGGCGCCAAUGUGUUUUGUUGUGUCUGUCCCGUGCCAGUCCUGAGGAAGCUGGAGGGUUCUGCACCCUGGAGUGUUCUGUUCUGCACAGGUUCAGGUUCUGUCCCCCAGGGUGUUCUGCACAGGUUCUGCACAGGUUCUGCACAGGUUCAGGUUCUGCACAGGUUCAGGUUCUGCACAGGUUGUGUACCCUGCUGCAGUCUGGGGGAGCAGGAUGGGGGCACUGGGCAGGACUCAGCCUCUGCUCCUGUUCCUCCCAUUCCCAAAUCCCCGGGGCUGCCCUGCUCUGGGCUGUGCUGAGCGUGGCUGGCACUCCCUGCCUGCCCCAUGUGAGAGGCAGGAGAGCAGGGCAGCAGCUGGGGGUGGUUCAGAGCCCCCUGAUGCCUGGCUGCUGACAUCCCAGAGCUCUGCUGGGCCUUCCCAGCUGCCCUGCUGGGGCCUCCCUCUGCCAACAGCUGUGCAAGGAGAGGGAGAAAACUGCCUUUACAGAGAGUUCUUGGGUGAGUGGUGCCUAGGCUGGGCUCACUUGGAGGGUUUUAUGGCUGGGUUCACUGUGGCACAAAGCCUGAUAUUGUCUCCUGAGUGGAACUCGUUAAUGUGCAGAAAAUCCAAACUUGAGAUUGGCUUUUAUGUAGUAAAAAAACAUAAUACAGUACAGGAAUAUAAAAAGAAACCGUCCAGUGCAAACAUCAUAUAGAUUGGAAAUGGAUACAGUGUUCCUUAAAAUAACUUUAAAAAAAUCAGGCUUAAAAACAGCAAUUCCAGAUAAUAGAAUCUGGCUGAUACCUACCAAAGUACUUGACUUACUGCACUAAAUAAUUUCAUAACUAACUUUACCUGCUGAUAGCCAAUACCACAGGUACAGACAAAAUCCUUAAACUGUAAGUAUUAUUAGUUAGCAUUCUUUAUAAUACACAAAUAUGUGGAACCCCUAGAGCACAUACUCCUGGCUGGAUUAAGCAAAACAGAAUGAGCCCAUUCAAAACAAAACCAAGACUAUCACCCCAAAAUGUACUUUUUAAAAACAAAGGAUAGGAUCUAAGGCUGAUUUGCCCAAUGGACAGAAUUCUUCUCAGUUUUCCUUUAGUUCAUAUUUGAAAAUUUGAGUGAUUACAUUGUUGAUGUUGUAUUAGUGUCCUACCAAGUAUUGCAUUGGACAGCUUUUUACAGCAGUGAGGAGCAGUGUGAGACCAUUAUUGUGCAUUGUUAUUUCCUGCCAAGAAAACAUACUGGGGGACGGGAGUGUGAAUUGGAGAUGAUGUGUACAAGUAAAAAAAGCAAAUUUGCGAGGUUCCACUAUACUUGUUAAAGAAAAAAAAAAAGAUUUAGUAUUAUUUGGUUAGCUACCAGAUUUAAAUAA